AAGUAUUAUAUAUAGAGUUUGAUUUAUUGAAAAUUAUAUAACAAUCAUAAUUAUAAGAUAAAAAUAAGAGAGAAAAGGGUAGAACAAGCUUGUUAAGAUAUAAGAAUGGCAAAAUGGAGUGCAAUAGUUUUAAUAAUGAUGGUGGUGAUUGCUGUUGCGGUUACAGUAGAAGCAAAUAAAAAAAAAGAAUGUUUUCACAAAUGUUCUAAACCUUGUAAGCCUCACCACGGUAAUUGUUUUAAACAUUGUAAAGCUAAAUGUGGUGAGACAAACCCUCAUCAUGGUCCAGGAGGACAUCAUCAUGGUCGAGGAGGACCCCCUCCUCCCCCUAGACAGAACUUUACAUGAAAUGGGACACGUGGAAGUUCGUGGAAGAAAAAAGUAAUUAAAAGAAGUUAUAUAGAAAGUUUGCGAUAAUUUCUAUAGUUUUAAUUUCUUGUUAAAAUCGAAUAAAAAUAUUGAUAAUAUAAUUAUUUCUAAUUU